rnacentral:lncRNA from 1 species
CCUAGCAGCAGUCACUGUAACGCAGUGGAACCGAUCUCAUCUGAAAUUGAAUGCUUGAAGCCUGGGGAUGCCAACACCUCCAGCUUCAAGGAUAGAGGUGCUGGUCAAGAAGGACCAGUUCCCUAAUCCAAAAUUCAUUGCAAUUGUGGAUGAAUAAUUAUUAUCACUCUACUUGGGGAAAAAAGAUAGCAGUUCACUGAAUGUAUUUUUUACUCUUUCCUGUCACCCCCCCCAGUGAAGUUAACGUUUUUUCAUUCACUGUUGGCAAAGAUGAAAGUAUCAUUCAUUAAACACACAAUUAAAUAAGUUUAGUUUAAUUUUCACAGGUUUCUGAGAAGAGAGCCAGAAAUCAAAACUGGAUCCUGUCGCUCCUGAUCAAGUCCUGAUGGAAAGAAGUAAAUGUGUAGCUGAUGUUGCUGUGAGAGAAAGUGAAAUGAAAGGAAGGGACUAAGUUUGAAGCCUGGUCAGCAAAGUCCCUGGGCAGGAGCUCGGAAUGUCCUUAUCUUCUCGGAGAAAUCUACUGCUGGUGCCAGAGCUCUGUGAUUUCUAUCAAAAGAAAAUAAGCGUGAAACAGAAGUUAAAAAUCAUACAUCAAACCCUUCUUUUUGGGUGCUGUUCCUGUGGCUAUGGCAUACACGAUAUCAUGGCCGAACUCCUACCGGCUUUCCUUACAGCCAGUGGAGUGGAGGUUUCUUCGUCGUGACUGUUCCCUAUCGUGAUCUGAGAGAGCUGCGAGACUGUGCCCAGGGUAGCAUCUUGUUUUCAGCCGUGUCCAGCAGUCACCUGCAGGGAGCUGCUUCGACACGGGACAGGCGGCAGUGCAGCACCGGCCUCUUCUGCGGGGUUCAGAACCACAGGCUGAAAGCACCCUGGAAGAGCAGUUCCCUUCAUCUCGCUUUGACUUGCCAGUUCUCUGUCCAGCUCCUCCUCCUUCCACCAUUUCAGCGCCAGCUUGACAAGCUGUCUUUACAGGUUUGGUUAUCACGUUUCCAGGAGGUAGGACGGCUUUCCCCACAGCCAGCCUGGUUAUAA